UUUACACAAAUAUCUCAGUAGACUCGUGACUCUUAACUCAAUUAUUUCGAUCCUUUGUCAAUCUAAAUCAGGUGUCAUAUUGAAAUGAAUUAUCCUUUAAGGGCGGCAGAAAAUGUUUUGGAUGAAAUUCGAUUAAAAUCGCCCAAAGUUCAAACACUAAUCGGAGCAGGAGCUGGCCUAGUGGCAGCGAUAGUAAGUAUCAAAAUCGCCGAAUCAAUAGCCUUAUUUGUGGGAGCAGCGCUGUUGAUACUGUCCCUAACAACCGACUUUGUUCAGAUACCAACAGUCAAUUUAAAGUUCAAUUUAAAUUUAAGUUUUGUGAAUGGGUUGAUCCGAAGAAAUGGACCGUUAGCAACUGGCUUUAUCGCAGGAUAUUUAAUUGGUUUCGCUAUGCUAUGAACAGGCGGAGAUUGUCAAUCAGAAGAAAUUCAUUUUUUUUGAAAUUUCUAUGUGUCGAAUUCGUUGUAUGAUUUAAUAUAUACCAAGAGUUGUCUGCGUAC